GACGAACGCUGGCGGCGUGCUUAACACAUACAAGUCGAAUGGUAAGGCCCUUCGGGGUACACGAGUGGCGAACGGGUGAGUAACACGUGGGUGAUCUGCCCUGCACUUCGGGAUAAGCCUGGGAAACUGGGUCUAAUACCGGAUAGGACCACUGCCUGCAUGGGUGGUGGUGGAAAGCUUUUGCGGUGUGGGAUGGGCCCGCGGCCUAUCAGCUUGUUGGUGGGGUGAUGGCCUACUAAGGCGACGACGGGUAGCCGGCCUGAGAGGGUGACCGGCCACACUGGGACUGAGAUACGGACCAGACUCCUACGGGAGGCAGCAGUGGGGAAUAUUGCACAAUGGGCGCAAGCCUGAUGCAGCGACGCCGCGUGAGGGAUGACGGCCUUCGGGUUGUAAACCUCUUUCAGCACCGACGAAGCGCAAGUGACGGUAGGUGCAGAAGAAGGACCGGCCAACCACGUGCCAGCCGCCGCCGUAA
rnacentral:rRNA from 1 species